rnacentral:rRNA from 1 species
AGGGCGCAGGGCGAAUGCCUUGGCACUGGGAGCCGAUGAAAGACGUGAUAAGCUGCGAUAAGCUUCGGGGAGCUGCAAAUAAGCAUUGAUCCGGAGAUUUCUGAAUGAGGAAACUCACCUGGGUUCAUACUCAGGUACGUUAUACUGAACUUCAAAAUAGGUAUAUCGAGGGAACCGCCUGAACUGAAACAUCUAAGUAGGGCGAGGAAGAGACAUCAAACGAGAUUCCGUAAGUAGUGGCGAGCGAACGCGGAAGAGGGCAAACCGGGAGUAGAAAUACUUCCGGGGUACGGACUGCUUUUAGGACUUAAUCUGUUAACCGAACGGCAUGGGAAGGCCGGUCAGAGAGUGUGAGAACCACGUAGGUGAAAACGGAGAGAGCUGCGCAGAUUCCAGAGUACGGCCAGACACGUGAAACCUGGUCGGAAGAUGGGGGGACCACCCUCCAACCCUAAAUACUACCCAGUGACCGAUAGCGUAUAGUACUGUGAAGGAAAGGUGAAAAGCACCCCGGGAGGGGAGUGAAAAAGAACCUGAAACCCUGUGCCUACAAGCACCUAGAGCACGUCAAUGUGUGAUAGGGUACUUUUUGUAGAACGGUCCGGCGAGCGAUUGUAUGCAGCAAGGUUAAGGACUUAAGGUCUGGAGCCGAAGCGAAAGCGAGUUUGAAAAGGGCGUUAAGUUGCAUAUAAUGGGCCCGAAACCGGGUGACCUACCCAUGGUCAGGUUGAAGUGGAAGUAAAAUUCCAUGGAGGACCGAACCGACCUCCGUUGAAAAGGCGGCGGAUGAACUGUGGGUAGCGGAGAAAUUCCAAUCGAACCCGGAGAUAGCUGGUUCUCCCCGAAAUAGUUUUAGGACUAGCCUCAAGUUAGAUACCUGGAGGUAAAGCACUGAAUAGCCUAGCGGCCGAGAGGUUAGCGAAGCUUAUCAAACUCAGAAUGCCAGAGUAUUGAUGCUUGGGAGUCAGACAGUGUCAGAUAAAUGUCAUUGUCAAAAGGGAAACAGCCCAGAUCUACAGCUAAGGUCCCAAAGUCAGGUUAAGUGGAAAACGAUGUGAAGAUACGCAGACAACCAGGAUGUUGGCUCAGAAGCAGCCACUCAUUCAAAGAGUGCGUAAUAGCUCACUGGUCGAGCGUCUUUGCGCGGAGAAUUUAACGGGGCUAAACCUGACACCGAAGCUUAGGCAAUCCAGUAAUGGAUUGGGUAGGGGAGCGUUGUAUACGCGGAGAAACAGUAGCGUAAGCGGCUGUGGAGUGUAUAGAAGUGAGAAUGCCGGAAUGAGUAGCGCGAAUGCAGUGAGAAUCUGCAUGGCCGAAAGCCUCAGGUUUUUGGAGGAAGGUUCGUCCGCUCCAAGUUAGUCGGGAGCUAAGGUGAGGCCGGAAGGCGUAGCCGAUGCACAGACGGUAGAGAUUCCGUCACCACCAAAAGAGUUAAGCACAGGGACACAUUUGAAGUCUCAGAGCCGGGUGUUGGUUCCGGUAGAGAUCGAGGGAAGUUAGUACCGAAGUCUGGGAUGGAAGAUGGCGAGAAAAGCUGUGUGUAUUUCUGAGGUGCCCGUACCGCAAACCGACACAGGUAGGUAGGAAGAAGAUUCUAAGGCCAACGGGAGAAGGGUUGUUAAGGAACUCGGCAAAUUGACCCCGUAACUUCGGGAGAAGGGGUGCUCCAGAGAUGGAGCCGCAGAGAAUCGGCCCAAGCAACUGUUUACCAAAAACACAGGUUUGUGCUAAAUCGAAAGAUGACGUAUACGAGCUGACGCCUGCCCGGUGCUGGAAGGUUAAGAGGAGAUGUGCAAGCAUUGAAUCGAAGCCCCAGUGAACGGCGGCCGUAACUAUAACGGUCCUAAGGUAGCGAAAUUCCUUGUCAGGUAAGUUCUGACCCGCAUGAAAGGCGUAAUGAUUUGGGCACUGUCUCAACAGCCCGCCCGGCGAAAUUGUAGUACCGGUGAAGAUGCCGGUUACCCGCGACAAGACGGAAAGACCCCAUGGAGCUUUACUGUAGCCUAAUAUUGGGUUUCGAUGUUGCAUGCACAGGAUAGAUGGGA